rnacentral:rRNA from 1 species
GACGAACGCUGGCGGCGUGCUUAACACAUGCAAGUCGAACGGCAAGGCCCUGCUUUUUUGGGCUGCUCGAGUGGCGAACGGGUGCGUAACACGUGAGUAACCUGCCCUUGACUUUGGGAUAACUUCAGGAAACUGGGGCUAAUACCGUAUAGGAUCUCCUGCUGCAUGGUGGGGGUUGGAAAGUUUCGGCGGUUGGGGAUGGACUCGCGGCUUAUGAGCUUGUUGGUGGGGUAGUGGCUUACCAAGGGUUUGACGGGUAGCCGGCCUGAGAGGGUGACCGGCGACAUGGGGCCUGAGAGACGGCCCAGAGGCCUAUGGGAGGCAGCAGGGGGGAAUAUUACACAAUGGGCGGAAGCCGGAUGCAGCAACGCCGCGUGUGGGAAGACGGCCUGCGGGUUGUAAACCGCUGUCGCCUGUGACGAAGCGUGAGUGACGGUAAUGAGUAAAGAAGCACCGGCUAACUACGUG